AGUCGAGCGGUAACAGGAAUUAGCUUGCUAAUUUGCUGACGAGCGGCGGACGGGUGAGUAACGCGUAGGAAUCUGCCUAGUAGUGGGGGACAACAUGUGGAAACGCAUGCUAAUACCGCAUACGCCCUACGGGGGAAAGGAGGGGAUCUUAGGACCUUUCGCUAUUAGAUGAGCCUGCGUGAGAUUAGCUAGUUGGUGGGGUAAAGGCUCACCAAGGCGACGAUCUCUAGCUGGUCUGAGAGGAUGAUCAGCCACACUGGGACUGAGACACGGCCCAGACUCCUACGGGAGGCAGCAGUGGGGAAUAUUGGACAAUGGGCGCAAGCCUGAUCCAGCCAUGCCGCGUGUGUGAAGAAGGCCUUCGAGUUGUAAAGCACUUUCAGUAGUGAGGAAAGGGGUGUAGUUAAUACCUGCAUCCUGUGACGUUAGCUACAGAAGAAGCACCGGCUAAUUCCGUGCCAGCAGCCGCGGUAAUACGGAAGGUGCGAGCGUUAAUCGGAAUUGCUGGGCGUAAAGCGCGCGUAGGUGGUUCAGUCAGUCAGAUGUGAAAGCCCCGGGCUCAACCUGGGAACUGCACCUGAUACUGCUGGACUUGAGUACGGUAGAGGGUAGUGGUAUUUCCUGUGUAGCGGUGAAAUGCGUAGAUAUAGGAAGGAACACCAGUGGCGAAGGCGACUACCUGGACCGAUACUGAC
rnacentral:rRNA from 1 species